ACAUGUAAUGAACCUUAAUCAAGUGUACAAUAUAAAUACAGCGCGCGUUUUUACUAUCCUCCACAAUUCCCAUAGGAGCCGAGCCAGCAGUUACUCUAGAGCAUAUAAAGGCCGCACACUCCAAGACUCGACAACACUUAAGUCCACUGCAAGUAGAAAGGAGCUUUCCUCAAAGAUCCCAUCCCGACAUCAUGAAUUCCAGAGUCGUUUUUGUUCUCGUCGUUGUUCUACUGGCGGUGGCAUUCGUCCAACAUAGCGAAGCCUUCACGGCGGGCGGAGGAGGCAACGUCCCGGCAGGCAAAAGGGAGUUUAUGCUCAAGAGAGCCGUCCGAGACCUCUGCUUGGCCGCAAGACAACAUUGCAAGAGAGAAUUCUUCACAACCAACGAAGAAUGACCUUCUUUAUUUAGGCAAAAUGAAUUUUAAAAACAAAACCAAACACAAGAAAAAAAGACUUAUGAUAAGUGUUCCUGUUGGGUCACCCGCGAUGAGGCGAUGAGAAGAUCCGUAACCAUUAGUCCAUUCGCAUCGAGGAGUCGACCAUUUGUCUUCCAAGAAAUUCCGUGUAAAAUAUUUGCAAUAAUCGAAUAAAUAGAUUGAUUUCGAAUAAAUAGAUUGAUUUUAAAAGAA